ensembl:snRNA U6 U6 spliceosomal RNA
CUGCUUACUUGGGCAGCACAUAAUACUAAAAUUGGAACAUACAGAGAUUAGCUUGGCUGCUGCACAAGGAUGACACACAAAUUUGUGAAGCAUUCCAUAUUUUU